AAUAGAUACCCCGGUAGUCCACGCCGUAAACGAUGGAUGCUAGCUGUUAGAGGUAUCGACCCCCCUAGUAGCGAAGCUAACGCGUUAAGCAUCCCGCCUGUGGAGUACGGUCGCAAGACUAAAACAUAAAGGAAUUGACGGGGACCCGCACAAGCGGUGGAGCGUGUUGUUUAAUUCGAUGAUAAGCGAAGAACCUUACCCAGGCUUGACAUCCUUGGAAUUUUUACGAAAGUAGAGAGUGCCUUUGGAACCAAGUGACAGGUGUUGCAUGGCCGUCGUCAGCUCGUGUCGUGAGAUGUUUGGUUAAGUCCAUCAACGAGCGCAACCCUUGUAGUUAGUUGAAUUUUUCUAGCUAGACUGCCCUGGUAACAGGGAGGAAGGAGGGGAUGAUGUCAGGUCAGUAUUACCCUUACGUCUGGGGCUACAAACACGCUACAAUGGCCGGUACAAAGGGCAGCCAAGUCGCGAGACGGAGCAAAUCCCAUCAAAGCCGGUCCCAGUUCGGAUAGCAGGCUGAAACUCGCCUGCUUGAAGUCGGAAUCGCUAGUAACGGU
rnacentral:rRNA from 1 species